UACGUAGGGGGCUAGCGUUGUCCGGAAUUACUGGGCGUAAAGCGCACGUAGGCGGCUUUGUAAGUCAGGGGUGAAAGCCCGGGGCUCAACUCCGGAAUUGCCUUUAAGACUGCAUCGCUAGAAUUGUGGAGAGGUAAGUGGAAUUCCGAGUGUAGAGGUGAAAUUCGUAGAUAUUCGGAAGAACACCAGUGGCGAAGGCGACUUACUGGACACAUAUUGACGCUGAGGUGCGAAAGCGUGGGGAGCAAACAGG
rnacentral:rRNA from 1 species